rnacentral:rRNA from 1 species
AACCUGCCCGUGGCAGGGGGAUAAGCGGGGGAAACCCCGUCUAAUACCGCGUAACGCGGCCUAGGGACAUCCCAAGGCCGCCAAAGGGAGCAAUCCCGGCCACGGAUGGGCAUGCGGCGCAUUAGCUAGUCGGCGGGGUAACGGCCCACCGAGGCGACGAUGCGUAGGGGUUCUGAGAGGAAGGCCCCCCACACUGGUACUGAGACACGGACCAGACUCCUACGGGAGGCAGCAGUGAGGAAUAUUGGUCAAUGGGCGCGAGCCUGAACCAGCCAAGUCGCGUGAGGGAGGACGGCCCUACGGGAUGUAAACCUCUUUUGCCGGGGAGCAACGGGCGCCACGUGUGGCGCCACUGAGAGUACCCGGAGAAAAAGCAUCGGCUAACUCCGUGCCAGCAGCCGCGGUAAUACGGAGGAUGCGAGCGUUAUCCGGAUUUAUUGGGUUUAAAGGGUGCGUAGGCGGAUCGUUAAGUCAGUGGUCAAAUUGAGGGGCUCAACCCCUUCCCGCCAUUGAAACUGGCGAUCUUGAGUGGAAGAGAAGUAUGCGGAAUGCGUGGUGUAGCGGUGAAAUGCAUAGAUAUCACGCAGAACCCCGAUUGCGAAGGCAGCAUGCCGGCUUCCUACUGACGCUGAAGCACGAAAGCGUGGGGAUCGAACAGGAUUAGAUACCCUGGUAGUCCACGCGGUAAA